rnacentral:lncRNA from 7 species
GCGGGUGAGGUGGGAGGGCAUGGGGGGCUGCAGGAGAGGUGAGUGUGCAAGAGGUGCGGCGUGUGCAAGGGGUGGGGUGUGCAAAGGAGACAGGUGUGUGAAGGGCCCAUGGGUGUGCAGGGGAGGGGGGUGCAAAGGGUGGGGGUGUGCAAGGGUUGGGGAGUGUGCAAGGGGUGGGGGUGUUGCAAAGAGAUGGAGAGUGUGAGGAUGUGGGUGUGCAAAGGGCAUGGGUGUGCAAGGGCAUGGAGGGUGCAAGGGGGGGGGUGCAAGGAGAUGAGCUGUGUUGAAGAUGGUGGGUGUGGAAGGGUAUGGUGUGCGAGGGGCAGGGGGUGUGCAAGGGGUGGGAGUGUGCAAGGGGGGAGUGUGCAAGGGGUGGGGGUGUACAAAGGAGAUGGAGGAGUGUGAGGAUGUGGGUGUGCAAAGGGCAUGGGUGUGCAAGGGGCAUGGAGGUGUGCAAGGGGUGGGGGUGUGCAAAGGAGAUGGAGCUGUGUGAAGGACGUGGGUGUGCAAGGGCCAUGGAGGAGUGCAGAAGGUGUGAGUGUGCAAGGGGCACGGAGGUGUGUGAGGGGUGGGGGUGUGCAAGGGAGAUGGAGGUGUGUGAAGGGCAUGGGUGUGCAAGGGGCAUGGAAGUGUGCGAGGGGUGUGAGUGUGCAAAGGAGAUGGAGGUGUGUGAGGGCUGGGGGUGUGCAAUGGGGAGAGCUGUGUUGAAAGGAUUAUGGGGUGUUGCAAGGGGCAUGGAAGUGCUGCAAGAGGUGUGGGAUGUGCAAGGGGCACGGAGGUCUGCGAGGUGGGUGGUGCCAAAGGAGAGGGAGGUCUAUUCUCAAGAGAAAACGUGUGAUUUUCGGGUUAAAUGGGGGAUUCUCGAAGAGAAAACGCAUGAUUUUUGCUUAAAUGGGGAUUCUCAGAGAAAACGUGUGAUUUUCGGGUUAAAUGGGGAUUCUCAAAGAGAAAAAGCGUGAUUUUUGGGUUUAAUGGGGAAUUCUUGAAAAGAAACCACCGGAUUUUCACUUAAAUGUGGGAUUUGUGACGAGGAAGCGCGUGAUUUUCGCUUAAAUGGGGGAUUCUCGAAGAAAAAACACGUGAUUUUUGGGUUAACUGGGGAUUCUCGAAGAGAAAAUGCGUGAUUUUCUAGUUAAGUGGGGGAUUCUCGAAGAGAAAAGGCGUGAUUUUCAGUUAAAUGGGGGAUUCUCGAAGAGAAAACGUGUGAUUUGCAAGUUAAAUGGGUGAUUCUCAAAGAGAAUCGCACGAUUUUCUCUUAAAUGGCGGAUUCUCAAAAAGAAAACGCGUGAUUUUUGGGUUAAGUGGGGAAUUUCCGAAUAGAAAACGCGUGAUUUUUGCUUAAAUGGCAUAUUUCCGAAGAGAAAAUGCAUGAUUUUCAGGUUAAAUGGGAAAUUCUCGAAGAGAAAACGUGUGAUUUUCGGCUUAAAUGGGGGAUUCCCGAAGAGAAAACGCGUGAUUUUUGGUUUAAAUGGGGGAUUCCAGAAGAGAAAAUGCGUGAUUCUCGCUUAAAUGGGGGAUUCCCGAAGAGAAAACGCGUGAUUUUUGGUUUAAAUGGGGGAUUCCAGAAGAGAAAAUGCGUGAUUCUCGCUUAAAUGGGGAUCUCAAAAGAAAACGCGUGAUUUUCUCUUAAAUGGGGAUUCUCGAAGAGGAAAUGUGUGAUUUUCGCUUAAAUGGUGGAUUGUCGAAGAGAAAACGCUGAUUUUCAAGUUAAGUGGGGAUUCUCAAAGAAAAACGCGUGAUUUUCGCUUAAAUGGGUGAUUCUUGAAGAGAAAACGCGUGAUUUUUGCUUAAGUGGGGGAUUCUCGAAGAAAAAAACGCGUGAUUUUCAGUUAAAUCGCGGAUUCUCGAAGAGAAAACGUGUGAUUUUUGGUUUAAAUGGGGGAUUCCAGAAGAGAAAAUGCGUGAUUCUCGCUUAAAUGGGGAUCUCAAAAAGAAAACGCGUGAUUUUCUCUUAAAUGGGGAUUCUCGAAGAGGAAAUGUGUGAUUUUCGCUUAAUGGUGGAUUGUCGAAGAGAAAACGCGUGAUUUUCAAGUUAAGUGGGGGAUUCUCAAAGAAAAAACGCGUGAUUUUCGCUUAAAUGGGUGAUUCUUGAAGAGAAAACGCGUGAUUUUUGCUUAAGUGGGGGAUUCUCGAAGAAAAAAACGCGUGAUUUUCAGUUAAAUCGGAUUCUCGAAGAGAAACGUGUGAUUUUUGGGUUAAAUGGGUGAUUCUCCAGGAGAAAUCGCUUGAUUUUCUCUUAAAUGGGGGAUUCUCAAAGAGAAAACGCAUGAUUUUCGGGUUAAGUGGGGAAUUUCCGAAGAGAAAAUGCAUGAUUUUUGCUUAUAUGGCGGAUUUCCAAAGAGAAAACGUGAUUUUCACUUAAAUUUGGGAUUCUCGAAGAGAAACCACCUGAUUUUUGCUUAAAUGAAGAAUUUGCGAAGAGGAUACGUGGGAUUUUCACUUAAAUGGGGGAUUUGCAAAGAGAAAACGCAUGAUUUUCACUUAAAUGGGGGAUUCUCGAAGAGAAAUCGCUUGAUUUUCGGGUUAAAUGGGGGAUUUCCGAAUAGCAGACGCAUGAUUUUUGGGUAAAAUGGGGGAUUUCCGAAGAGAAAAUGCAUGAUUUUUGCUUAAAUGGGGAUUCUCAAAGAGAAAAUGCGUGAUUUUCGCUUAAAUGGGGGAUUCUCAAAGAGAAAACGUGUGAUUUUCAGGUUAAUUGAGGGAUUCUUGAAGAAAAAAACGCGUGAUUUUCGCUUAAAUGGGGGAUUCUCAAAGAGAAAAUGCGUGAUUUUUGGCUUAAAUGGCGGAUUUCCGAAGAGAAAACGUGAUUUUCGCUUAAAUGGGGGAUUUGCGAAAAGAAAACGCAUGAUUUUCGGGUUAAAUAAGGGAUAGUUGAAGAGAAAACGCAUUGUUUUCGCUUAAAUGGGGGAUUCUCAAAGAGAAAACGCGUGAUUUUUGGGUUAAAUGGGAGAUUCUCGAAGAGAAAACGCAUGAUUUUCGCUUAAAUGGGGGAUUCUCAAAGAGAAAACGUGUGAUUUUCGGGUUAAAUGGGGGAUUCUCGAAGAGAAAACGCAUGAUUUUUGCUUAAAUGGGGAUUCUCAAAGAGAAAACGUGUGAUUUUCGGGUUAAAUGGGGGAUUUUCGAAGAGAAAGCACAUGAUUUUCGCUUAAAUGUGGGAUUUGCGAAGAGGAAGCGCAGGAUUUUUGCUAAAAUGGGGGAUUCUCAAAGAGAAAAUGCGUGAUUUUCUAGUUAAGUGGGAAAUUCUCGAAGAAAAAACGCGUGAUUUACUGUUAAAUGGCGGAUUUCCAAGUAGAAACCGCGUGAUUUUCAAGUUAAAUGGGUGAUUAUCAAAGGAAAUUGCAUGAUUUCGCUUAAAUGGGGGAUUCUCAAAGAGAAAACGCGUGAUUUUUUGGGUAUAAUGGGGAAUUUCCGAAUAGAAAACGUGUGAUUUUCGCUUAAAUGGCGUAUUUCCGAAGAGAAAACGCGUGAUUUUUGCUUAAAUGGCGGAUUUCCGAAGAGAAAACGCGUGAUUUUUCGGUUAAAUGGGGGAUUUUCGAAGAGAAAACGCGUGAUUUUCGGCUUAAAUGGGGGAUUCUUGAAGAGAAAACGCGUGAUUUUCAGUUAAAUGGCGGAUUUCCAAAGAGAAAACGUGUGAUUUGCAAGUUAAAUGGGUGAUUCUCGAAGAGAAAACGCGUGAUUUUCUCUUAAAUGGGGGAUUGUCAAAGAGAAAACGCGUGAUUUUCGGUCUAAAUGGGGGAUUCUCGAAGAGAAAACGCGUGAUUUUCGCUUAAAUGGGGGAUUUCCGAUGAGAAAAUGCUUGAUUUUUGCUUAAAUGGGGGAUUUGCAAAGAAAGACCGCGUGAUUUUCGGGUUAAACAAUAGAUUUCCGAAUAGAAAACGUGUGAUUUUCGGGUUAAUGGGGGUUUCUCGAAGAGAAAACGCGUGAUUUUCGGCUUAAAUGGGGGAUUCUCGAUGAGUAACCACCAGAUUUUCGCUUAAAUGAAGGAUUUGCAAAGGGGAAGCGUGUGAUUUUUGCUUAAAUGGGGGAUUCUCAAAAAGAAAACAUGUGAUUUUUGGGUUAAAUGGGGGGUUCUUGAAGAGAAAACGCGUAAUUUUCACUAAAAUGGGGGAUUCUUGAAGAGAAAACGCGUGAUUUUCGGGUUCAAAUGGGGGAUUUGUGAAGAGAAAAUGCGUGAUUUUUUGGUUAAAUGGGGGAUUGUCGAAGAGAAAACGCGUGAUUUUUGCUUAAAUGGGGAAUUUCCGAAGAAAAAACGCGUGAUUUUUUCUUAAAUGGCGGAUUUCCAAGUAGAAACCGCGUGAUUUUCCCUUAAAUGGGUGAUUAUCAAAGAGAAAACGCAUGAUUUUCAGUUAAAUGGGGGAUUCUCGAAGAGAAAACGCGUGAUUUUUUCUUAAAUGGCGGAUUUCCAAGUAGAAACCGCGUGAUUUUCUCUUAAAUGGGUGAUUAUCAAGGAGAAAAAGCAUGAUUUUCUCUUAAAUGGGAGAUUCUUGAAGAGAAAACGCGUGAUUUUUGGGUUUAAUGGGGGAUUCUCGAAGAGAAACCACCUGAUUUUCGCUUAAAUGAAGGAUUUGCGAAGAGGAAGCGCGGGGUUUUCAGCUUAAGUGGGGGAUUCUCAAAGAAAAAACGCAUGAUUUUCUCUUAAAUGGGGGAUUCUCAAACAGAAUAUGCGUGAUUUUUGGUCUAAAUGGGGGAUUCUCGAAGAGAAAACGCGUGUUUUCUGGGUUAAAUGGGGGAUUUCCGAAGAGAAAACGCGUGAUUUUCAAGUUAAAUGGGUGAUUAUCAAAGAGAAAAAGCAUGAUUUUCUCCUAAAUGGGAGAUUCUCGAAGAGAAAACGUGUGAUUUUUGGGUUAAAUGGGGGAUUCUCAAAGAGAAAACGCGUGAUUUUCAGGGUUAAUGGGAAUUGUCGAAGAGAAACAUGCGAUUUUUCCCUUAA